GUUUGAAUGUAACUCCGAGCGCGUAUGGCUAAGGCAAUGCUAUGCCGUGCGCGUCGGGGCCUCGGGGGAAACGCCGAGACCUUCCGCCGCAAGGGCAUUGAAAAGGAGCAGAACCGAUCGGUAC
rnacentral:ncRNA from 2 species